rnacentral:rRNA from 1 species
UACGUAGGGGCCUAGCGUUGUCCGGAUUUAUUGGGCGUAAAGAGCUCGUAGGCGGUUCGGUAAGUCAGGUGUGAAAUCUCCACGCUCAACGUGGAGGCGCCACCUGAAACUGCCGUGACUCGAGUCCGGUAGGGGAGUGUGGAAUUCCCGGUGUAGCGGUGAAAUGCGCAGAUAUCGGGAGGAACACCAGUGGCGAAGGCGGGUCUCUGGACAGUUCCUGACGCUGAGGCACGAAGGCCAGGGGAGCAAACGGG